GGGACUAUUUUAAAGGAGCGAAAAUUGAGGAAUAAUGUCUUUGAAGCUAGUUUGCAAAUUAUGGACAUGGUCAAAUACUUGACUGAAAAUUGGAGCAGGGAGAAUACACUGCAUAUUUGGGUGGAGCUGUUACACCAGACAUUCUGAUACAAAUUGGAUGAAACCAGCGACCGGGCGCUACAAAUGCAACUCUGGCGGACCAUUCUGUUCACAUCAAAAUCGCCAAAACAAUUCGGAUUUCACCAAAUAGGGGAAGCCUUGGGCCAUCUUCAUCCGCUCACUUGAGUUCAUGACUUGCAUCUGGGACAAGUGGUCAAGUGGAUUACACUACACUAAAAGAUCAAUUGAUCUUUUUAAUAGUGAUAAGAUUGACGUCAAAGAAUUCGGAGACAUUAAUAGGUAGUGUGGACGUUUUUUCUUUUUUCAUUUGGAAAACUCGUGUUGAGUUUAUUAAGAGAAACAAAUGAUCGGUAGCUCACGCUCCAUCAAGGAUAGCUAGAUGUGGCCCACAUCUCUAGCUAGUUCUCAUAUUUUCAUUGAU
rnacentral:lncRNA from 1 species